rnacentral:tRNA from 1 species
UUAAUUAAAACCAAAAUAGAGGUAUACUACUGUUAAUAGUAUAAUUGUUAUAAAAUAAAUAGCUAAUUAAA